UACGGGGGGGGCAAGCGUUGUUCGGAAUUACUGGGCGUAAAGGGCUCGUAGGUGGCCAACUAAGUCAGACGUGAAAUCCCUCGGCUUAACCGGGGAACUGCGUCUGAUACUGGAUGGCUUGAGUCUGGGAGAGGGAUGCGGAAUUCCAGGUGUAGCGGUGAAAUGCGUAGAUAUCUGGAGGAACACCGGUGGCGAAGGCGGCAUCCUGGACCAACACUGACACUGAGGAGCGAAAGCCAGGGGAGCAAACGGG
rnacentral:rRNA from 1 species